GAAGAAGAAGAUUGUUGCCUUGACCUUCUGCUAGACAUAAUAUAUACCUAGAAUUGGUGUAUUUUUCUAUUUAUAUAUAUAGUUUAUAAUAUAACCAAGAAGAUACAAAUGAGGGAGGAUAAAGUAAGAAAGUAACAAGAAUUAAUUGGUUUAUUUUGUUGGAAAUUAACAAACAAAAGACAAGCUAUGUAGUGGAGAAAAGGAGAGGAGGAAUGGUAGGAGUGGUAGAGUUAAAAGCUAUAGGUAUGAAUGAAGAAAUGGAGAAAGUGAUGAGAGAGAUAU
rnacentral:lncRNA from 1 species